GGAGCACCUUUAACAACACUGGUUGGUGGUUACAAUUAAUAGUGAACUGUUUGGUAAUUCAACCACUCAAGUUGUGGUCAGAUUAUAAAAUAAGCAAUAAGGACAUUUUUAUUUUAUUACAUAAUAUGUAUUUUAUUAUAUAAUAUAGAGAUGUGAAGAAAGUUCUGCACAUGUUUUUUAUUGAUUUGAAAAAGGUUUAUGAUAGUGUUUCAAGAUAUGUCUUAUGGAGUGUGUUAGAACAAAAGAGGGUAUUUAUUAGGUACAUACUGGCUUUGAAAUAUAUGUAUGAAGGAGCAAUUACUAUUGUGCGCACAGUGGGAGGAGACACAAGAGAUUUUCCUAUCUCAAUUGGAUUACACCAAGGUUCAGCUGGAAGCCCUUACCUUUUUACAUUAG
rnacentral:misc_RNA from 1 species